rnacentral:rRNA from 1 species
GAUGAACGCUGGCGGCGUGCCUAAUACAUGCAAGUCGAGCGAAUGGAUUAAGAGCUUGCUCUUAUGAAGUUAGCGGCGGACGGGUGAGUAACACGUGGGUAACCUGCCCAUAAGACUGGGAUAACUCCGGGAAACCGGGGCUAAUACCGGAUAACAUUUUGAACCGCAUGGUUCGAAAUUGAAUGGCGGCUUCGGCUGUCGCUUAUGGAUGGACCCGCGUCGCAUUAGCUAGUUGGUGAGGUAACGGCUCACCAAGGCAACGAUGCGUAGCCGACCUGAGAGGGUGAUCGGCCACACUGGGACUGAGACACGGCCCAGACUCCUACGGGAGGCAGCAGUAGGGAAUCUUCCGCAAUGGACGAAAGUCUGACGGAGCAACGCCGCGUGAGUGAUGAAGGCUUUCGGGUCGUAAAACUCUGUUGUUAGGGAAGAACAAGUGCUAGUUGAAUAAGCUGGCACCUUGACGGUACCUAACCAGAAAGCCACGGCUAACUACGUGCCAGCCGCCGCCGUAA